GACGAACGCUGGCGGCGUGCUUAACACAUGCAAGUCGAACGGUGAAGCGCCUUCCUUUUUGGUGGGUGUGGAUGAGUGGCGAACGGGUGAGUAACACGUGAGUAACCUGCCCCCUUCUUCUGGAUAACCGCAUGAAAGUGUGGCUAAUACGGGAUAUUCUGGGUCUGUCGCAUGAUUGGUCUGGGAAAGAUAUUGUUUCGGUGGGGGAUGGGCUCGCGGCCUAUCAGCUUGUUGGUGGGGUGAUGGCCUACCAAGGCGGUGACGGGUAGCCGGCCUGAGAGGGUGGACGGUCACACGGGGACUGAGACACGGCCCAGACUCCUACGGGAGGCAGCAGUGGGGAAUAUUGCACAAUGGGAGCAAGCCUGAUGCAGCGACGCCGCGUGAGGGAUGGAGGCCUUCGGGUUGUGAACCUCUUUCGCCAGUGAAGCAGGCCUGCCUCGUUUGUGGGUGGGUUGACGGUAGCUGGAUAAGAAGCGCCGGCUAACUACGUG
rnacentral:rRNA from 1 species